rnacentral:rRNA from 1 species
AGGGGAAUAUUGGACAAUGGGCGCAAGCCUGAUCCAGCCAUGCCGCGUGAGUGAUGAAGGCCCUAGGGUUGUAAAGCUCUUUCACCGGUGAAGAUAAUGACGGUAACCGGAGAAGAAGCCCCGGCUAACUUCGUGCCAGCAGCCGCGGUAAUACGAAGGGGGCUAGCGUUGUUCGGAUUUACUGGGCGUAAAGCGCACGUAGGCGGACUUUUAAGUCAGGGGUGAAGUCCCGGGGCUCAACCCCGGAACUGCCGUUGUGUCUGGACGUCUUGAGUAUGGUAGAGGUGAGUGGAGUUCCGUGUGUAGAGGUGAAAUUCGUAGAUAUUCUGAGGAACAACAGUGGCGAAGGCGGCUCACUGGACCAUUACUGACGAUGCGGUGCGAAAGCGUGGGGAGCAAACAGG